UCCUACGGGAGGCUGCAGUGAGGAAUAUUGCACAAUGGGCGAAAGCUUGAUGCAGCAACGCCGCGUGGGCGAUGAAGGUCUUCGGAUCGUAAAGCCCUUUUCCAGAGGAAGAGGAAGGACAGUACUCUGGGAAUAAGUGUCGGCUAACUACGUGCCAGCAGCCGCGGUAAAACGUAGGACACUAGCGUUAUCCGGAUUUAUUGGGCGUAAAGCGCGUGUAGGCGGUGUUCCAAGUUGGAUGUAAAAUCUCCGGGCCUAACUGGGAGGCGUCAUUCAAUACUGGAGCAUGUGAGGGCAGAAGAGGGAAGUGGAAUUCCCGGUGUAGCGGUGGAAUGCGUAGAUAUCGGGAGGAACACCUGUGGCGAAAGCGGCUUCCUGGGCUGCCCCUGACGCUGAGACGCGAAAGCUAGGGGAGCGAACGGGAUUAGAUACCCCUGUAGUCG
rnacentral:rRNA from 1 species